rnacentral:rRNA from 1 species
UACGGGGGGAGCAAGCGUUGUUCGGAUUUACUGGGCGUAAAGGGCGCGUAGGCGGUCGUGACAAGUCACUUGUGAAAUCUCCGGGCUUAACUCGGAAAGGUCAAGUGAUACUGUCGUGCUAGAGUGCGGAAGGGGCUACUGGAAUUCUCGGUGUAGCGGUGAAAUGCGUAGAUAUCGAGAGGAACACCUGCGGCGAAGGCGGGUAGCUGGGCCGACACUGACGCUGAUGCGCGAAAGCCAGGGGAGCGAACGGG